rnacentral:misc_RNA from 1 species
GCAAACUUGGUCAUUUAGAGGAAGUAAAAGUCGUAACAAGGUUUCCGUAGGUGAACCUGCGGAAGGAUCAUUAACGAGUUAGGGUCUCCAAGGCCCGACCUCCCAACCCCAUGUUUACUUGACCACUGUUGCUUCGGCGGGCCCGUCUCGCGACCGCCGGGGGGCCUUUGACAGGUCUCCUGGCCCGCGCCCGCCGAGAGCCUCAACCAAAACUCUUUUAAAACGUGUCUAUGUCUGAAUUACAAGUCUUAAAUAAAAGCAAAACUUUCAACAACGGAUCUCUUGGUUCUGGCAUCGAUGAAGAACGCAGC